AUGCCAUGAUGUGGACAUUUUCUUAACAUUGCUUUUAAUCUUUCCCAAGCCUGAUAAACCGAUUCAGUUUCAGUCUGCAAGAAAUUAGAAACUCUGGUCUUAACUUU
rnacentral:snoRNA from 1 species